rnacentral:piRNA from 1 species
UGGGAUUAAGGGCAUGGGCGACCACAGC